UGCUGACUAUUGUGGAAGAUAUAGAUAGC
rnacentral:piRNA from 1 species